UGUGGUGUGGCUCAAACGAUAGAGCAGUUGCCUAGCAAGUUGAAGACCCUGAGUUCGAAUCCCACCACCACCA
rnacentral:tRNA from 1 species